rnacentral:lncRNA from 1 species
GCAGAUGCACUAUGCAGUACUAUAGCAGAUGCACUGUGCAGUACUGUUGAGUACUGUAGCAUGUUACUGUAGCACGACGGUAAACAACCGAAAUACUACCGAGGCUGUGAAGUAAACAACUGAUCAGUCUUCUAAAGAUAAACAACCCUAAGAUUGGUAGAGAUUGUGAAGUAAACAAUAGAUCAAUCAGGGUAAACAACCCAAAUACCA